GCUGCUUCUCCAACCGUUCAAAGUAAAACAUCUUGGGUGUCUUCACUUGGACAGCUAUGCCACCAUGCAAGUAAGGCUCCAUGUCUGACGUAUUUCCAAUGCUGAAGGAGUACGGUGACACCACUGUUAUCUGGUGUGUGGAGCCGUUCAAACACGACAUUCCAUUAACUUCCCGAAAGGUUAAGAACUGCCCUGUUUCAAGCCUGUGUGGAUGAUUUUCAAGGCAAGUGACAAUACCAGGAUUUGAUUGUGUUAUAUUUGAAAUGAAGAUUUCCUUUGGCUCCUCUCCUGUUGUAUCCAACACUUCAAAUUCAUCACCGAAGUCACAAAACAAACGUGAACAUAUUCCAUAUACAUCUGCA
rnacentral:lncRNA from 1 species